rnacentral:misc_RNA from 1 species
GGAGAAGUGUAGUUUGAACUCUCAAAUUAAAUGCGCAUUCCAUUCCUCAAAAUUCCGCUCAACAUCAUUACAAUCUCGCCAAAUUAACACGAAAUUGUAUCAUAAGAAAACUAACUAUGGAUAAAUAGGCCACUGAUUCCUCUAUCCCAUCAGCUAACAAAAUCUAAACUUUAAAAUGCAAUAAAGGAAAAUAUGUACAAGA